AGGGGGCGAGCGUUAUCCGGAUUUACUGGGUGUAAAGGGGGCGCAGACGGCCAUGGCAAGCCCGGUGUGAAAGGUGCGGGCACAACCCGCAGACUGCACUGGUAACUGCCUGGCUGGAGUGCCGGAGGGGUAAGCGGAAUUCCUGGUGUAGCGGUGAAAUGCGUAGAUAUCAGGAGGAACACCGGUGGCGAAGGCGGCUUACUGGACGGCAACUGACGUUGAGGCCCGAAAGCGUGGGGAGCGAACAGGAUUAGAUACCCUGGUAGUCCACGCCGUAAACGAUGUAUACCAGGUGUCGGAUGUCAAAGGCAUUCGGUGCCGAAGCCAACGCAUUAAGUAUACCACCUGGGGAGUACGUUCGCAAGAAUG
rnacentral:rRNA from 2 species